AUUUUACACCUCCAUUCUUAAGUUUUGCAAAUACUUUAAACAAUUACCGUUACAAUUUCAGAUGAGCAAAUCCUUCUCAAAUUUCUCUCCAUCAGUAUGCAAAUCUCAUGCUCAAUCACCGUUAUAAAAUUAAAUUAUCAAUUGAUAUGUAAAUCCUUCUCAAAUCUCUCUUCAUCCCUAUCUGCAAAUCGUUCUCAAAUCCAAUCUCCCAAUCCUUCUCAAAUCUCUCUCCAUCCAUCUGUAAAUCAUUCUCAAAUCCCACCCCGUUGUCUUCAAAUCCAUAUCACAACAGUUCCCUCUCCCGCUGUUUGCUAACCUUUAUCACAGAUAUGCUAAUCUCUAUCCACUGCUUCCCGUCCCAUAUACAUCAUGAUUGGAAAUCAGGAUUUGGUGCUCCACCUCCCCCGCCUGAUUUCGAAACCUAUUUUUCAAGGUACGUGUUUCUUGGUUGCCUUUAUGUUGACAAAUUCUCCCUUAAUUUCAUCUUAAGUUAAUAGAUAGAAUUGUGGGAUGGAUCUCCCGAGCUUGGCUUUGAUCCUGCAUGGUGCACUCAGCACCAAUCCAGACCAACGGAGGGCCUCUCAAGAGAGUCUCAAUCAGAUUUAGUAUGCGCUCCAACAUUUGGUGAGGCUGUUGCAGAUCAUAUCAUAACUCAGCUGCGAUUUAGCGGUUAGACAAGUCGCUAGCAUUACCUUCAAGAAUUUCAUUGCAAAAAAUUGGGCUUCAAGCAGGGUCCAGGGCAUGUUGAUUUCGACGAAAAAAGAGAGCAUAUCGUUAUAGAGGGUUCUGAAGCAUUUUUUUUUUCCAUUUUUUUACUUUCGGAGACUAAAAAUGAAAAUUUGAAGAAGUGUUACAAUUCACUUGCGGCAUAUUUCAAUCCAUGCCUAUGAACUCUAAUAUUUUUUAGAAUUAGGAAAUGAACAAUCUACGAUGCCUAAUCCAUGCCAGUCACCGGCGUGAGGAAAACAGCUAUUCGCCAACCCAUUGGCUGACAUUUUCAAGUUUUGAGGCUAUGUGGGAAUCCAUAGUUCAGGAUUCAGAGACUUCCUGUUGAAGCCUGAGCUUUAGAGGGGUAUUGUCUUGAACAGGAAGCGAAAAGACGGCCUCUAGCAACGAGGUUGACAGGAAAAGCAAUUCUUGCUGCUGCAGCUACUAAUUGAACCAAGUUGAACCCAACAUCACCAUGAUUCUUUAAUGCUAGGACUGUAUUAUAUGAUUUGUUAGCUACAAAAUCACUACCCUGAUGCCGUCAUGGCUUUUAUUAAUUAUUUUUCACGAAAUUGGUUGUUUAUUGUUAUUAAUUGAUAAACUAAGAAUGAAUGCAUGUAUGUAUACCACAAAAGAUGAAAAUGUAUGAUCAUCUAUUUGUAAUUUGUUUAUUCGAUGAAUCGGCCAAUGCGGUUUUUAAUCUUCAGAAUAAAA